AGCGAAGGCAGGAGCGUGAGGUGAACUGAAUUUCAGGGAAGCCAAUGGAGAGGUCCACAGUGAUGCGUAACCUCAAUAAAUAUUGCAGAUCCACAGAGACAUCCCCCAAUUUGUCCGCUGGUGAUUCAUCUGGGAACUAAUAGUGGAAGACAAUAAGCAGUGAGAGGGACCAUCUGAAAGACAUCAGUAAACAUGUUACAUCUUCAGCCAAUUUCAUAUUGUCCAUCAGGAAUAGAAGCCGAGGAGGAUGCAGUCUCCUCGCUGUAGGAUGAGCAAUGACAGUACCAGACACCCUUCAGGAAUCUAGUGGAGCUUCCAAAAUUGAGUUGCCAUAUGGCACUGAUGCUUAAAAAUUGUCUUGAGACAGGUAACAGCAUCAACUCAUAUGUCAUGCCUGUCAGCUACAUUGACUUGCUGUUAAAACUUUGAUAAUGACCUCCAUCAACAUCGGUUGAGUAUUAGAAGAGGAGCAAAACAAUUGAAAGAAGACCAAAGUCAUCAUUAGGGGGAUUUUAGGUUGAGAUCCUCUUGCUGAAUCCUCAGGCCAUCAAAUUGAGGAUUUAGAAGGCCUUAGGCGGCAGUUAUGGCUCCCUACAGAAGCUUCCUCGUGAUGCCGAGUGGCGACUCUUGAAGGUCGGGGGAGGAAAACCAAUUUGCAGGAAAAAAAAAAAGGUUAUUUCAAAAACCCUGGCGAACGACCGCAGCUCACUUUGAAAUGGAGCAUCAAUCAAGCCUCUUGCUCUCUUUGCUGUAAUUACUGGGAAAUGUUAUAAAUUUUGGGAAGUUUUGAGCGCUGAAAACAUUGAAGGAUAAACACGUUUUUUGUACCAGGAGAGAGUGAGUCACCCAGUAAGGUGAAUUAUUGAGACAUGAUAAAGUUUGAGUUACUGCUCUUAAUAAAGUGGGUUCUUUUUCAAAGUAACUGACAAGCAUAUAGAUUCUACCUUUUUGUGUAGUGUUAAUAUGUUAAAAUUAAAGUAAAUGCAUGCUAGGUCUGCUGCUAGGAUGAUGUGAGUUUGAGCAGUAAAAUCAUCCACACCCUCGCACAUGUGCAGAUUACAUUAUGCUUCCAGUCCUACCACAGAAAACCUGUGUAAUUUAUAGGCAAAUAAAUCUAUCCCCUUCCUUACAAUUAAACCCUCAACUCUAAAGGGUGGCACAAGAGAGGUCUCGUUUCAAAAAAAAAAAGAAGAAGAAAAGAAAAAGGAAGAAAUAGAGCGAGCCUUAGCUCCAUCCUAAAUCACUCACCACAGCAAAGCUGCAUUCUCCGACUUUCCUCCAGAGCUUUCUCUGCUAGUAUUGAACACCGAAUAAUCGCAAGCCUGCAUGGAACAACUAUGUAUAUUGCAUCAACAUUAAAGCACGCAUCUGUCACAUCCCCAGUGAAUGAGGAGGUUAUUUGUGAGCCAAGCUGAGAUGCUGAUGGUGUUCAGCUGACAGGUGGCUGGAGUGAUGAUGGAGGUGUGGAAGCCACAUGCUAAACAGAGCAUCAAGACGCUGUUCGCCGAACAGUCUUACUGACUCGGUUUGCAUUUGUAGAUAUAAAACAUUUUAUAGUGAUGAGAUUUUUUUUUUACACAACCACAAAUAUGAAGUUGAAAUAAACAAACUGAAAUUCAUCAAAACACAAAGGAAAUGCCUUAGAUAUUUCUCUUACUGCAGAAAAUCUAACCCAGUUAAUGUUGCGCCACAAUAAAAAAACACUACAGUUUAAAGAACAUGGAUGUUCAUGUUCAUCUUUGGCACACUGGGUCAGUUUAUUUAUUUGACUUCCCAACAGCAUGGUGUUGACUGUGAAAUUCCGUGUGCAGAUUUAGUCAUUUGGCAAAAAAAGGCAACAGCCAGAAAAUUAAAUUAAAUAUGGUCUGUUUUUGACCAGGACGAGGGCUACAAAGGCAGAUGGUCAUGUUAAAUAUGGCCAAGCAUUCAAAGAAAUAGGUCAGUGUGUGUGGGCCAAGUAUCUCUAUGCUAAGCUCACUAGCAUCACAUAGAAAUAAAACUAGCGACAGGUGAAUUUCCAGGGCCUGCACGACUGGGGCUUUGGCAGUCAUUUUCCAUC